AGUAGAUGCCCCCCAGGGCGGGGAGGCCGGUGUAUCCUCCCGCCGAGCCGCAGGACACGGAGCUGCAGACCAGGAUCAGGGCGGCGAGCAGGACCUCCACCAUCUGGCAGCAGGCUGGAGGGGAGGCCGAGCUGCCCCAGGACAGAGCCUGUGUCUCCUGAUACAGUCACUAACACCAUGGGAUCUGUCCUUCAGUUGCAGCUGUGAGGUUCCAGUUCAGCCCUUGGCGGACCAUGUUCAGGUGUUCAGGAGCAACAGCAAUAACCCUAUAGACUUAUGUGAUGAAAAGCCUAAAAACUACACUUCAGCACUGUAGGAAAACACUCUCCUCAACACUUCACCUGAUUCCACAGAGGACUGGAGAUCUGAAAAUGCAUCUUAAAAUUUAGUUAGAAUGAGGUAAGAGAGAAAGAAAACAAAAGAACCAUUGUUUCAAUGCCCAAUUCAGAUAAAGAAAUUGUGUGUGAAGUUAAAAAAUGGAGAAUCCAUAGGGAGCUUAGGAUGAGAAGUCUGGAGAUAGUGCAGGUGCUCAGCAGUGAGGCUGUUGCACACACCUUUUCACCAGCACAUGUUGCAUCACUUAUGUUGACGUGGCAGAAAGCAGGCCUCCUUGCUGGGUGGGUUUAAAAGUUUUAGCAACCAUUUGUGAACUUUUAGGGUCAUGCACAGUGCAAUUUUUCUUAGUAGACCUUUUAACUGAAAGGGACAUGAAGAACUAAGUUGAAUAAUCAUGAGUCACAGGAAGGGAUGAAAUAAGUGUUUCUUAUGCAGAGUGUUGCUGCUGGUCAUCCAACAAACUGAGAUAAAGCUUUCUUUGGAUUUGUGUGUGAUUUACUUGUUCAAAGACAGGAAGUCUUGCUCUGUUGGAGAUGUGUUCAGUGUUCUACUAGAGUGUUUGCUGCUAAAAAGUAAGGUACAAGCUUCAAGAUACUGUAGAAGUGAGUCAGUCUUAUUUAAUUUCUGUUGCUAUAAUGAGAAAUCUUAAAAACAUGCUUUGUGUCACUUCACUCCUGCUCAAAGUUCUGUAGCUGAACAUCUUCCUCUUGGGUUCCUGUUCUCACUGCAACAAAUACCAGUCAGCAGAACAGAGCAAUAGGAAAUUGAGGAUACCAAUAUUAAUCUUCACCACUGUUCUGGCUUCUCUUUGUAAUUAUUUAUUAGUAUUAUUUUUGGCUUCUUUGGUUCUGGCUACUUCUGAUAUCAUUGUUGUGCUAAGGGGGGGAAGGAUCUGGUUUGGCUUGCCAUGGACCAAGAGCUCUGACCUGGUUCAGUGCCCUCCCUGGGAACUUGGAGGGUAAAGUGGUAGCAGCAAGUCAUGAACUGCCUCCUAUGUGUCCAGUUUGAGGCAGCUGGGAGCUGCAGCACAAUCACUGCUGAACACCACAACCAGAUUUAUUGACUGUCCCACAUAAAUAAAUAAUCACAGGGACAAUGAGUGCAGCAUGAUGACGAUAGAGCAGUACUGUAGAAAAGAACUGGAGGUUACUGUGAAUGACAAACUGAACUCAAGUCCACAAUGUCACCCUAUUGCGAAAAAACUAACAUUUCUAGGGUGUAUGAACAGGAAUGUCACAUGUAGGACGUGUGAAGAAAUUCUUCUGCCCCCACUUCAGCACCGGCUUGGCCUCAGUCUUGCACACUGUGUUUCCAGAGGCAAGUGGAUCAGCUGGAGGGGAUUCAGAAGAAAGCAAAAGAAAUAUCUAGAAAUACAACCUGUGAGAAAAAGAUUGAUCACAGACAUCUCAUUUGAAAUAACUAGCAUCUGUUAACAGCUUGCAAGCUUGUAAAUAGAGAGAUAUCUUGACAACUUGCAAACUUGUAAAAAACUCCUGUCAAGAGCAGGGAAAUAUUUUGUUCACUCUGUUUGCUGUUGGCAUGGUCAGAAAACAGAGAGCUUAGCUUCAAGCAAAAGGGAUUUAUUUUAGGCACCCUCAAUGUUUCUCACACACACUCCAAGUCCACAAUUUUAUAAGGAGAUGAACAGUUAUUGCAGGAGUGGAUUAGUAAGCAGAUAGUAGGUUUCCAUCACUGGGGCUGUAAUUCAGUCAUGAGAAGGCUGGCCCAUUUGUGUUCUUGUGAGAAGGAAGUGCUGGUGCUGCCCACACCACCCACUAUAAGCUCACAGUGUCAUCUCAUGCCACAAAGCCACUGUACCCCUUUCCACACCACCCCCAUUAGCUGGUUACUGUUCCAGUGGCUCCAAGGCCGUUGGAGGACAGCUGCUAUGACAUAUCAUGCAACAGCUCAAGUCUCUGAAGCCGUAAGUCAAACACAGGAUAUGCACUUACCUGGAUAAUAUUUACCUGGAUGUAAACAGACACAAGUCUGGACAAUAUGUUUUCUUUCCCUGUGCCUGUACUCAGGAACCAGUAACACACACACUUUGUGGAACAUUCCUCUCAGCAUCUGUAACAGGAAUUGCAAGUUUUAAUCGUGGCUGUUGGGCCUGUAGCUCACUGGUGCUUCCAACUCCCCACAAACCUGGAGUGCACUCUGUGUCUCUCAAUGUGCUGGCUAUGGACUCAGUGCCCAAGCUGAG